AACGAACGCUGGCGGCAGGCUUAACACACGCAAGUCGAGCGAAGACUUCGGUCUUAGCGGCGGACGGGUGAGUAACGCGUGGGAACAUACCCUUUGCUACGGAACAGUCCCGGGAAACUGGGUUUAAUACCGUAUACGCCCUUCGGGGGAAAGAUUUAUCGGCAAAGGAUUGGCCCGCGUUGGAUUAGGUAGUUGGUGGGGUAAAGGCCUACCAAGCCGACGAUCCAUAGCUGGUUUGAGAGGAUGAUCAGCCACACUGGGACUGAGACACGGCCCAGACUCCUACGGGAGGCAGCAGUGGGGAAUCUUAGACAAUGGGGGCAACCCUGAUCUAGCCAUGCCGCGUGAGUGAUGAAGGCCUUAGGGUUGUAAAGCUCUGUCGCCUGGAAAGAAACCUGAGGAUAGGAAAUGACCUCAAGCUGACGGUACCAGGAAAGGAAGGACCGGCUAACUCCGUGCCAGCAGCCGCAGUAAUAC
rnacentral:rRNA from 1 species